UCGCCAGUUGGACGAGUGCAGGAGUAACUGUUGUUUGCGUGCUGCGUGUUUUGGAGAGCGGACAAAGCGAUUAUUUAAUUUAGCCGCAUUCCGCCUCUCGCGUACGUCCGCGUGUGAACGAAUCCGAAAACCGCAUAUCUGUGUAGAUCCGCAGAUGUUAUACAAUAUGACGGAGUAGCCAACGGACUGACCCAAAGCAAAGGUCAAGCCGAUACGCGCUAAUCUGACUUCCGAUCCAAGUGCAAACUCCCCAGCGCCCGCCGUUCCCGCCGCUCCCGCUGUUAUCACUUGCCACCCACAAACAUAUUAGAAAACAUACAUAGUAGAAAACUGAAAUUACAAAAUGGGUUGCAUGCGCUACAUGUCGGAGGCUCAUUUGAGGGGCUUCGAGCGAUACAAGUACAGCAGUAUAGACACGAGCUUCCUCAGCGUCUAUGUGAUGCACCCGUUUUGGAACUACUGUGUGAAGUUUGUUCCCAAAUGGCUGGCGCCCAACGUUCUGACCUUCGUGGGUUUUCUCAUGACUGUCGUCAACUUUAUCCUGAUUGCGUACUAUGAUUGGGGCUUUGAAGCAGCCAAUUCAGAGACGGGAAAUACGGUGCCCGCCUGGGUUUGGACAGUGGCGGCCAUAAAUAUACUCAUUUACUAUAACUUGGAUGGCAUGGAUGGCAAGCAGGCUCGAAGAACUGGAACGAGUGGACCCCUGGGAGAGCUGUUCGAUCAUGGAUUGGACUCCUAUUCAGCUGCCCUGAUACCCAUUUACCUAUUCUCCCUUUUCGGCACACACGAUUUGCCCCCGAUUCGUAUGUUCUUUGUGAUCUGGAACGUGUUUCUCAACUUCUAUUUAACGCACGUGGAAAAGUACAAUACGGGUGUUAUGUUCUUGCCCUGGGGCUACGACUUUACCAUGUGGGGCGUUAGUGGCAUGCUGUUUGUGGCCACCGUCUUUGGGCCUGAGAUGUAUCGCUUCAGUAUAUAUGGUUUCACUGUGGCGAAUAUGUUUGAGUUCGUUUUAAUUGGUUCCGGCAUGGUCAGCAGCCAUCCGAUUAUAGCUAGAAAUAUCUACCUUUCCUACAAGAACAAGACCGGAAAAAUGAGACCCAUGUGGGAAAUGCUGCGACCAUUUUUCGCUUUCGUCUGGCUUUUUGUGAUCACUGUCGUCUGGUCGUUCUUUUCUCGAAAUGAUGUGAUCAAUAAGGAGCCACGAAUUUUAUGGAUACUCUAUGGCACGAUAUUUUCAAAUAUUGCAUGCCGUCUGAUAGUGGCCCAAAUGUCGGACACGCGAUGCGAUGCCUUCAAUGUGCUGAUGUGGCCACUGGCCGCCACAGUGGGUGUUUGUUGUUUUCCGUACUACCAGCAGGUCUUCGACACAGAUCUUACGUCGGACAUCGAGCGAUGGAUACUCUAUGGGCUUACCAUUUUCUCAACUCUAGCUCACUGGCACUACGGCUACGGCGUGGUUUCUGAGAUGUGCGACCACUUUCACAUUCGCUGCUUCAAAGUAAGAAAAUCUAGCAGCCAAUCGGGUUCAAAUAUAACUCAACCACUUCUGCAGAACAAUAACAAAAUCAAACCGUUGAAAAGCCAUUGAAACUAAAUCGCUCACUAACAAAAAUCACAUCAAAAACCGGGGACAACCAAAAUCAACCAUCUUGUGAUAUAUAGUAUAUAUAUAUAUAUAAAUGGGUUCCAAACAUUUAGCCCUCGCCUAAUGUCUAGGUUCUAAGUGGUCCAUACUCAAAUCAAAACACUAAACCGAUACUCGCCAUACGCGGUUUCUAAUGUGAUCACGAAACAGACUGUCACCGCUGAGGAAGAGCUGCAGGAUGUUGUUGCAGACGCCAACCCUACAGAAAACGCCGA
rnacentral:misc_RNA from 1 species